CCGUAGCUCAGCUGGAUAGAGCAACGGCCUUCUAAGCCGUGGGUCGCAGGUUCGAAUCCUGCCGGG
rnacentral:tRNA from 7 species